UACGUAGGGGGCUAGCGUUGUCCGGAAUCAUUGGGCGUAAAGCGCGUGUAGGCGGUCCGGUAAGUCCGCUGUGAAAGUCCAGGGCUCAACCCUGGGAUGCCGGUGGAUACUGUCGAGCUCGAGUCCGGAAGAGGCGAGUGGAAUUCCUGGUGUAGCGGUGAAAUGCGCAGAUAUCGGGAGGAACACCAAUGGCGAAGGCAGCUCGCUGGGACGGUACUGACGCUGAGACGCGAAAGCGUGGGGAGCAAACAGG
rnacentral:rRNA from 1 species